AUUGAACGCUGGCGGCAGGCCUAACACGUGCAAGUCGAACGAGUGGCGGACGGGUGAGUAACGCGUGGUAACCUGCCUCAUACCGGGGGAUAACUAUUUGACACGAUAGCUAAUACCGCAUACUUUUGGAUGGACCUCCGUUGUAUUAGCUAGUUGGUGAGGUAAAGGCUCACAAAGGCGACGAUCCCUAGCUGGUCUGAGAGGAUGACCAGACACACGGGAACUGAGACACGGUCCAGACUCCUACGGGAGGCAGCAGUGGGGAAUAUUGCACAAUGGGCGCAAGCCUGAUGCAGCCAUGCCGCGUGUAUGAAGAAGGCCUUCGGGUUGUAAAGUACUUUCAGCGGGGAGGCGUUACCCGCAGAAGAAGCACCGGCUAACUCCGUGCCAGCAGCAGCGGUAAUAC
rnacentral:rRNA from 1 species